rnacentral:rRNA from 1 species
UACGUAGGGUCCGAGCGUUGUCCGGAAUUACUGGGCGUAAAGAGCUCGUAGGCGGUGUGUCGCGUCGGCCGUGAAAACCUGCAGCUUAACUGUGGGCUUGCGGUCGAUACGGGCAUCACUGGAGUUCGGCGAGGGGAGGACUGGAAUUCCUGGUGUAGCGGUGAAAUGCGCAGAUAUCAGGAGGAACAGCCGGUGGCGAAGGCGGGUCUCUGGGCAGUAACUGACUCGUGAAGGAGGCGAAAGCAUGGGGAGCGAACAGG